rnacentral:tRNA from 1 species
GUAAAUAUAGUUUAACAUAAAACAUUAGAUUGUGGUUCUAAAAACAGAGGUUAAACCCCUCUUAUUCACCG